GCAGGGAUGUGCCAGCGCUCAGGACACAGCACAGAAAUAAGGUCACUGGAUUCUGUUUGCAAAAACCAACAAAGCAAAUAAUCCUGCUUCUGGCUUUUCGUGGGCAGCUGGAUCCUGCUGGACACUUUGGGGGGGGAUGCAGGGAUGGAUGCAGGGGUGCAGGAUGAGGGAUGCAGGGAUGGGUGCAGGAUGAGGGAUGCAGGGAUAGAUGCAGGGAUGGGUGCAGGGGUGCAGGAUGCAGGAACGCAGGGAUGGGUGCAGGGAUAGAUGCAGGGAUGGAUGCAGGGGUGCAGGAUGAGGGAUGCAGGGAUGGGUGCAGGGAUGGGUGCAGGGGUGCAGGAUGCAGGAGCGCAGGGAUGGAUGCAGGGAUAGAUGCAGGGAUGGAUGUAGGGGUGCAGGAUGAGGGAUGGAUGCAGGGAUGCAGGGACGGGUGCAGGAUGCACGAUUCGGGGAUGCAGGAUCUGGGGCGGCAGGUCCUGGCAGGGUGCUGCUUCCUCCCCGGCAAGGUCACGGGUCCUGGCCGUGCUCACAGGCUGGGGAAGGCGGGGAGGGACAGGGACGCGCGGCAAAGGUCAGCGCUCCCUGCUCAGCGCUUUUGUCGGGUCCCAGGUGACAGCGGGCAUUUGCAUUUCAAUGAAUAUGUAUUUAGAGACGUUAAACCCGGCGGCAAAACAAGGGCCUUGCUGAGAUGACAAAUGCACCGCGUGUUCCCGAGAUCUCCUGCAGAAACAAACCCGCGGCAGGCGCAGCGGUUCCUCUUCCCCUGCUUUCCCCAGAACCGCAGCUGCUGUGAGCCCCCGGUGCGGAG
rnacentral:lncRNA from 12 species